CCCUUAGAUGUUCUGGGCGGCCCGCGCACUACAAUGGCGUGUGCAGCGAGUGCCGAAGUAGAGUUUUCCGAGGUAUUCUUGCAAUGCUCGUUUUGAUGGGGAUAGACCCUUGCAACUGUUGGUUUUGAACGAGGAAUUCCUUGUAAGCAUGGUUUAUCAUCCGACGCUGAAUGCGUCCCUGCCCUUUGUACACACCGCCCGUCGCUCCUACCGAUGAGUCGUCCGGUGAAGUUCGUAGACCUCGUGAUCGCUGAUCACUGGGGGAAGCAAAAUGAACCUCGCGGUUUAGAGGAAGGAGAAGUCGUAACA
rnacentral:rRNA from 1 species